rnacentral:rRNA from 1 species
GGAGGCGGAGCGCAAGGCCGCGAGGUGGCGGCGUACGCCGCGCGUGUCGUGUUUGUUUCGUAGAGGUGGGGGUGAGGGGUGGCGCCGCUACCGCUACGACGGGAGGAUCUGGCGAGGGUUUAAGAGGUUGGUCUCGGUCCGAUCGAUCCUGCGGUAUCGGCGGCCGCGGCGACUGGCCUAUCUAUCCACGGGACCGGAGGUAAGCGGCGGCGGCUGGCGGCUAUUUAGGGAGGAGGAGAAGGUGAGGGUGGAUGGAGACGCACCACCACCGCACGAGAAAAGGCUCCUGGCUGGCACCGGCACCCCUCGUUACGACACUGUGCUCUACCGUAGACCACCUGUAAGUCCACGUCCACAUUUACGUUAGCUUUAUAGGCCGUACUCGGGAGAGAGACUCGACCACACCAGAGGCCUACUACCAGAGUCGUAAUUUUAGCGUCGCAGGUCGGAUUCGUGUUCUUUUCGGAGAGAAGCGACCUUACGCCUAUGAAACUUGUAUCACUAUAGAAGCGGAGUCGUCUCGCCGCCGCCGCCGCCGCCGUUCUCACCACUAUUGCAUCUACGGUGGGAUUCCCUACGUCCUCUUUACGGCAGCGUUGGAGCUUGAGGUUCACUGUCAAGUCACUCUCAUAGGCGCCGAUCAGGUUUAUCUUGUGCUUUGGAACUACGCGUUGUUAGAUGAAGAUAUUCUAGUGUCCUUGUUCUAAGUUUUACGAGACCUCCCUAGUCACUCUACUCACUCCCCCUUCUUAACAGACUGUCGACGACACGUCUAUUCAACUUAUUUCUCCUUCGCCUAUAAACGGGGUGUUCUACGAGGUUGCUACGAAGUGUGUCAGGCCGAAGUUUUUUUCCGUCGGACGUUUCAUAAAGCCUUUUUGUCCAGAUGACACGUUGGCGACAGGUAUUACUCUCUAGAACCCGUCUAUUAUGGACCGCUCGAGCUAAUCAUUUUCGUUAAUCAGUCUCCCUGAUACAAAACGGUUUGUUACGUCACUUACGUGUCGGUGGAAGUAGGAAACCCUCAAAGUCAUUAUGUUUUUUCCAGGGUCCGUUCAACCGUCCAAAAGAUCUAUUGGUUUCACUAUUCGUGGUUCUAGACCAAUACGUCCUGUUGACAUUACCAUUAGUCCUUCUAGUCCAAUACGUCCUUUUGACAUUACCACUAGUGGUUCUGGUCCAAUACGUCCUCGUGGUAUUCCUACCCGGAUAAGAACGGUUUAACGUCAGUCGGAGGCCACAAUUGGGACAAAGUUUUACACUAAGCCGUAGGCCACAAUUAAGACAACGUUCUAUACUCAGUUGUGGUCUACAAUUAGGACGUUUCGAACUCUUCCCGUUUCUUUUCCGUUACGUGCUGGUCUCGUUAAUACAAUCGUUGUGUUUUCUCCCACUACUAUCGUUACUCUCAUACCUCUCAACAGGAUCCUACUUUCGAGGUUUCGCUCUCAUACGAGUUAUGAGUUGUCGCCUCUACAGAAGAGCCUUAUUUUCUAUAUCUUCCCUUAUGUUACUUUCAAUAACGAGUCCUAACAACUUGUCUUUACCGUCGAGAAAGAAAUUGACCUACAGAAGAGACUGAUUACCUAGUUGGCACAAACUAUUUUGAUGGUUAGUCUUCAACAGUCUCUGAUGACCUGUACUUGAACGUCCUGUAAGAGACGGUGAUCUUUUAUUGUCAUCGUUAGCAGACGUCAGACAACCGAAGUUAAGAGAAAAAGUUAGAGAAAUAUCAGUAUUGCAAUACUAUUGAAGUUCUCUAUGGGGAGUAGUUAGUCUUUAGUUAGGGUGGCUCGCACUUCGGCUGUCCGAUAGUGACCUAAACUUACCAUCGUUAAGAUACGAACUGUUCCUUUAAUCGUGUCCGUCUCUUUGAGAACUACACCGACAACCCUGAAAUCGACGACUGUCGGAAGUUUACCUCAGUGGACCACCAUUUACCUUAAAAUCUCUAGUUUCACCUCAAAAGGGAAACUCUCGGCCUUCUUUGAACUUCUACGGAUUGAGGUCAUUCAGUACAAGAUUUUGAGAACUUCUUUUUGUUUUACUCACGGUACGCUCGGGAAACUUACGACGUUACCCUUUAUUUCCACCUUAGUGUCUUUCGAACACCCAUUCAGCCGAAAAUGGUUUUUUUAGUUACUUUAACUACCUACGUUGAGGCACGUUACAUUUAUCACUAAAAACACGACAGUUAGGUUUCCCACGUCCACUAUUCGACAUAGGAAGUAGAGUUGUCUUACAAUUACACCUCUUCCUUAAGUUGUCAAGUGUUAUGAAGUGAUCGUGUCCUUCACUGUUACUCUGUUGUUCAUCGUUUACGGGCCACUAAGGAGGUCUCCUUGUAUUCGUCAGACUUUGUUACCGAAGGUAAGAACGUUUCUCUAACCUACGCGAAUCUGUACGCUUCUGGAGACGUUAAUCCAACCGAUAGAGGUCACCUUAUAGAUUUCUGGUAUUAGUGUCUUUCUCAGGGAAAAAAUAAUUAAUGUCGUCGGUACUACCUGAUCUCUGUCCUGUUCCUUGAGUUUUUAGAAGCUCACCACCACCUUCCGAUCAAAACACCAGACCACUGUUUCCUUUCCUUGUUAAUAUAGGAGAGUCACUACUCCUUAAUUCUCCUUUGUACAACCGUUCUCCACUUGUAGUCGUUACACCUCCCUCGUACUGACCUUUCCGACAUCGAGGAGUACUAUUAAAUCUUCGUUUGUGUAGACGACUUAUACAACUAUCUUCUCCUCAUGUUUAUUUCCUUCACCCAAGUUUAAGGUACCUCUCAGACGGUGUAUUGUUCGUUUAACAUGGGAUAUUAUAAUAAUGUUCACUGUAACUAGUUAGUUCACAACAAAAACCUCGGAACGUCUCCGAAGCAAACAGAGCUAGUCUGUAGUAUUCUACCAACCGCAGUGGUUAUUACGUGUGAUGGAACCUACCGAAAAAGAACGCAGAUGCAAAGCCAUUUACCCUCCUUCGUAACCCACCGUGUCCUAUGGUACAGCGAGCCUAUUUACCUCGUGACCUAUCUUUAGCGGAGAGACAUUGCUAGUCCUUAAGUUGAACGGUUCAUCUAAGAGCGAAACAUAGGUUGGUACCCAAGGUACUCCUACUCGAGUUCCGCACCACCAGACGACGGUACUUCCCACCGACCUUUGAUGGCAGCUUUCUUCUUGAAUCGUUCUUCGAUUCUCUUUCUCUCGAUGAAGUAAAGCCUUUACCUUGUCCAGUCGGGCUGUUGUGGACUACCGUCAUGGGUUUUGUACUUUCUAAAGCCAGAAAUGGCGGAAAGUAGGCCUUUGCGGCCGCUACGUUCGUACUGACAACCACAACCGAACAGACCAAUUCAAAACACGACUGUGACGAUAAGAGUGCUCCGAACCACAUCACUACUAUCUAGGUGGUAGGAACCAUAUAACUCUCUAACUCCAACAUGAUUAUGUGCUAAGAUAAAAUGCUACCCUAACCGAUAACACACUCUUAGGAUAGACAUUUAUCCUCCGACGACGGUCUUAUCAUGUGUUACAUGUUGACAACUGAUAUGAAUCUUAUUCUACCUACAAGCAACGAACGCCCUAAGUAAAGCACUCCGUAUAAUUAACAUACAUGAUUUGUGAGCCAAGCCUAGGACACUCACCACUCAACUAGUGGGUCGUAUAAAAAUCCCUUUCUAACGUUAAUAUAAUUCCCAAAAAUAGUAAAUACGGUGACCAACAUAGAGUGAUGAGUCAAAACGGUGAUCCUUAAAGUUGACGA